rnacentral:rRNA from 1 species
UCCGUAGGUGAACCUGCGGAGGGAUCAUUACACAAAUAUGAAGGCGGGCUGGAACCUCUCGGGGUUACAGCCUUGCUGAAUUAUUCACCCUUGUCUUUUGCGUACUUCUUGUUUCCUUGGUGGGUUCGCCCACCACUAGGACAAACAUAAACCUUUUGUAAUUGCAAUCAGCGUCAGUAACAAAUUAAUAAUUACAACUUUCAACAACGGAUCUCUUGGUUCUGGCAUCGAUGAAGAACGCAGCGAAAUGCGAUAAGUAGUGUGAAUUGCAGAAUUCAGUGAAUCAUCGAAUCUUUGAACGCACAUUGCGCCCUUUGGUAUUCCAAAGGGCAUGCCUGUUCGAGCGUCAUUUGUACCCUCAAGCUUUGCUUGGUGUUGGGCGUCUUGUCUCUAGCUUUGCUGGAGACUCGCCUUAAAGUAAUUGGCAGCCGGCCUACUGGUUUCGGAGCGCAGCACAAGUCGCACUCUCUAUCAGCAAAGGUCUAGCAUCCAUUAAGCCUUUUUUUCAACUUUUGACCUCGGAUCAGGUAGGGAUMCCCSCUGAACUUAAGCAUAUCAAUAAGCGGAGGAA